rnacentral:misc_RNA from 1 species
GUGAAUCAUCGAAUUUUUGAACGCAAAUUGCACUCUUUUCGGAGAGUAUGCCUGUUUGAGGGUGAGUCUAUAAAAAAUCGACAUCGUUGUUGUUUCGCGGUGGCGUUCGUCGGAAAUUGGGUAAUCUUAAAUCCUUUUGUUUCAAGUGACUUAAAAGUUUCUUUUGGUUUCAUGAACGUUUCUAAGAUCUAUUUCUUUACACGUUUUAGGUAUAGAUUUUUAUUAGACGUGACUAUCAUUUCGGAUGCU